rnacentral:tRNA from 1 species
GUCCAGGGAUGGGAAUCGAACCCACAGUGUUCCGCUUACCGGGCAGAUGCCAUGUCCACUAUGUUACCCUGGA